AUGCGAUUAAUUCUUUGUGUAGUUAAUUGUUUAUCUGCCGUGAACAAAACGUUCAUCUUGAAAGAUUUUUUUAAUGCUCAGAACUUGGACUUUCUGGGCAUUGUGGAAAGUUGGAUCCCACCUGCUCAAUCAGGUGCUCUGCUGGAACUUUUGCCUGAUGACUGUUUGUGUUUUAAUGUCCCAAGAUCUGUGGGCAGAGGUGGUGGACUCAUUUGUGUUUUUAAGUCACAUUUUAAUUUUAGACACCUUACACCACCAUUACUUGUUGACUCUUUUGAGUUUUGUCUUUUUGACUUGGGCCCAUCUUCUACUUUCUUAGGUCUUUUAUUAUAUCGCCCUCCUAAGUUUAAUGCCAAUUUUUUAGCAGAUUUUACUGAGUUGCUGUACACUUUUAUGCCAAGAUAUGACCAUGUGUUGAUUAUGGGUGAUUUUAAUAUUCAUGUGUGCUGUCCUGACAAACCGCUUGUCAAAGAUUUUUUUAAUGUUCUUGAUUCUUUUAACCUUGUGCAGUGGGUUUCUGAUCCAACGCACAGCCAUGGACAUGUACUGGACUUAGUCCUGUCUUUCGGGUUUCCGGUAACAUCUGUUGAGACUGUUGAGACCGCUUUUUCUGAUCAUUCUGCAGUAUUAUUUGACCUUGUUUUGCCAUUCAGAAUUAUCCCCAAACCUGCUCCUCUUAGAUGGGUGAGGGGCCUGAAUGACGAAAAAGCUGCUGAAUUCUGUGCUGAGUUUUCAUUUAAAUGGCCCAACUUAUAUUCAUCCCCGAUCACCACAGACUCUUUCCUCCUUCAGUUUGAACUCAUGUGUGCUGAAAUUCUGGAUGCAGUUGCUCCUUUUAUUUGCAAAAAAACAAGGUGCAUGCCUGAACCCUGGAUCUCUGAGGAAAUACGCACCUUGAGACGAGACUGCAGAAAAGCUGAAAGAAAAUUCAAAACGGACAGACUUCAAAUUUCCCAUGAUCUCCUUAGAGACAAACUCUUUUUAUAUAAUGAAGCUGUCAAAAGAGCAAGAAGGCAAUUUUACUCUGACAUGAUUACUUCUGCUUCUGGUGAUCAACGCACUCUUUUUAAGACAUUGGGCUCACUUUUGGACUCUGAUACAAGUGGGAAUCUUGUGCAAAGCUCUGUGGAAAUUUGUGAAAAAUUCUGUGUAUUUUUCAUAGACAAAGUCACUAGUAUCAGGUCGUCCCUUUCACACAGCUCUACUUAUUCUCAACCAACUCCACCGACACCAGAAGCUAACUUUCAUGCGUUUUCCUUGGUGUCUCUGGCUGAGCUAGAAAGGGUGAUAUCAGGUCUUAAACCAGCUGGUUCUUCUUUUGAUGUUCUACCAGCUUGGUUUUUUAAGAAAGUCUCUUCAGUUAUAGCUCCAGUUGUUUUAACUAUUAUAAACUCCAGUCUUGCGUCUAGUCAGGUUCCACACAAUUUUAAACGAGCGGUAGUGCGGCCACUGUUGAAAAAGCAAGGGCUGGAUACUACAGUGUUUUCAAACUUUAGGCCCAUUUCUAACCUUCCCUUUUGUGCGAAAGUCCUCGAAAACAUUGUGUACAAACAGUUGGUUACAUUUUUAAAUGGUCAUGAUAUCCUUGAGCCUUUCCAGUCAGGCUUCAGACCUAAACACAGCACAGAAACGGCUCUUUUAAAAAUUUUUAAUGACAUUUUAUUAGUAACCGAUACAGGUAAUCCUGUGGUUCUUUUAUUAUUGGAUCUAUCAGCAGCGUUCGAUACAGUGGAUCAUGAGAUCCUGAUUGAUCGGCUGGAACAUUGGGUGGGGAUCUCUGGGGAGGCUCUGCAGUGGAUGAGAUCCUAUCUCACUGACAGG
ensembl:lncRNA